rnacentral:lncRNA from 1 species
UUGCCUCAUAAGUUUUUGUGUGAAAAGAUGAUUAGAAACUGAGACCUUCUCCAAACUCCUGCUUUCACCUAAGCUGGACCAGGUCUACAGUCACCUGCUGGCUUCAUAACACAUUGCCAGUUUAAGCAACUCACAAGUGUAUGUGGACAUAAAAACAAGCUUCAUAUAUUGUGUGUCAUAGGGGACUGCCCUACCUGCCAAGGGUCUCACUGGAUCUCUGUACUCAUUUCCUGUUGCCAGCUGGUGGACAAUAUGGUGCUAAGAACUCAAGAAGUUGGUCCUCACGUUGAACCUCAGAGGUCACCAAACCUUUCUGGAUAGCUGCUAGGGAGUUUCUGGAGGUGCUCAAUAGUGACAUAUGUCAAGUUGAGAAGGGACAGCUGAUCUUCCAGGGUAGAGAUGGAUCCACUCCCCACUCUCAUAAAGAAGAUGUGGGUUUGUUUGACCUUCACUAUAUAGGAAAAAGCCUCACAAAUUCUUCAGCCCCUUGGAUGGAGGCUCAGCCUCCACACUGUAAAAUGCGGACAUAAUAACUUUUACAUAAUUUGAAAGGUUUCAUAAGAAUUGUCCCCCUAAUAUAUAUGAAGUGCCAUCCAAAUUAGAUUAACACAAGAGGAUUAUAUAAACACAGUGUAUUAUUUUUAUUAUUCUCAACUUAUCACAAUGGUCACCAUCCAACUUCUCAGUAGGAGUUAGGUUAAAGCUCACAGCUCACAGCACCCGUGGAGGCCAAAUCAUGCUGGGAUGGACCCUCUGUAUUUGCAGCCCAAACGUGUGUCUGUGAGCUGCAUGUGUUAAAACGUGUUUGCAUUUGGGAUGGGGACUGAGGAAGCAUCUGGGGACUGGACAGAAGAGUUUCCCCAGGAUGCAGUACUUUGAACAAACCAUGGAUUCCAGAAAAGACAUCUGUUUCCAUCAAGAACUAACAUGGAAUAAUAACAAAGAAGA